CAGACAUGUAGCGCAAAUGCCAGGUUUUGUUUACAUUUUGUUUCAUUCACAACGUGUACAUUUGGCUCCAUCCUUAAGGGGUUAAUAUAAGCGAGACGAAGGGACCGUGUAGGGACGAAGGGACCGCAGGCUAGCUAGAAGCCAAGCGGUGAAGAAUGAAGCUAACUUAACGUGAAAGAUGAGUCCAUACUAAUUGCCAAGAGGUGUGAGAGGCGCUAACUAUGAGUUGGCCCGAUGGGAUUUUUCGAGGCCACCGAAACGUUGUGGCGGGGUGUUGGCCUCUCGGUGGCAACUAAAGCAUAAGAUAGAAUGGGAGUGACAUGGGAAGCCCUCCCUAUGCAACAAUGUGAGGUGGCUACCUAUUAUUUGGGCCAAGGGACGUAUACCUCCGAGUAUGAGGAUGGGUGUUGGCCUUGCGGGACCACUAACGUAUGGAUUAAGACUGGAAAAAAGGAAACCUAGUCAGGUAACCUAAAUGUCAAAAAGCCAGUACUACUCUAAAUAGAAAGGACGGGGUAGUGAAAGCGUACCUGAAAAAGUUUUAGUCAGGACGAGACUAUAUGCAGAAAAAUAGGAGCUAGUGGCAGUAGAUACGUGCUGCAACCCAGUAAAAUGAUAAGGGGAGUAUCUGUGUGUACAGAAUAUGUUAGUGGCACAGAUUGUGGACCCGAACAAUAACCGGAAAACCUACCAGAAUCUGCCUACCAUCCGAGACCUUCGUCAUAGGAGGAGGAGAAGACCCGGGGAAGCCUGUAUGUGACUCCCCUUAGUGCCCC